AGCCGUGCGAUGCACACAAAGUGAACUAUUCUUUCGCCUUUUACUAAAGAAUACCGUGUGUGCUUCGCAAAUAACGGUAUACGUCAUUUUUUGGAGGGUACACUCAAUAUGGGUUG